GACGAACGCUGGCGGCGUGCUUAACACAUGCAAGUCGAACGGAAAGGCCCGCAUUAUUUUUGUGGUGGGGGUGCUCGAGUGGCGAACGGGUGAGUAACACGUGGGUGAUCUGCCCUGCACUUCGGGAUAAGCUUGGGAAACUGGGUCUAAUACCGGAUAGGACCAUGGUUUAGCAUCUCAUGGUGGAAAGAUUUUUUGGUGUAGGAUGAGCCCGCGGCCUAUCAGCUUGUUGGUGGGGUAAUGGCCUACCAAGGCGUCGACGGGUAGCCGGCCUGAGAGGGUGGACGGCCACAUUGGGACUGAGAUACGGCCCAGACUCCUACGGGAGGCAGCAGUGGGGAAUAUUGCACAAUGGGCGCAAGCCUGAUGCAGCGACGCCGCGUGGGGGAUGACGGCCUUCCGGGUUGUAAACUCCUUUCGUUAGGGACGAAGCCGCGCUUUUUUUGGGUGUGGUGACGGUACCUUUGUUAAGAAGCACCGGCUAA
rnacentral:rRNA from 1 species